CCUACGGGAGGCAGCAGUGGGGAAUAUUGGACAAUGGGCGCAAGCCUGAUCCAGCAAUGCCGCGUGAGUGAUGAAGGCCUUAGGGUCGUAAAGCUCUUUUACCAGGGAUGAUAAUGACAGUACCUGGAGAAUAAGCUCCGGCUAACUCCGUGCCAGCAGCCGCGGUAAUACGGAGGGAGCUAGCGUUGUUCGGAAUUACUGGGCGUAAAGCGUACGUAGGCGGUUAUUCAAGUCAGAGGUGAAAGCCCGGGGUCUCAACCCCGGAACGGCCUUUGAAACCUAGGUAGCUAGAAUCUUGGAGAGGUCAGUGGAAUUCCGAGUGUAGAGGUGAAAUUCGUAGAUAUUCGGAAGAACACCAGUGGCGAAGGCGACUGACUGGACAAGUAUUGACGCUGAGGUACGAAAGCGUGGGGAGCAAACAGGAUUAGAUACCCUGGUAGUCCACGCCGUAAACGAUGAUAACUAGCUGUCCGGGCACUUGGUGCCUGGGUUGGCGCAGCUACGUACUAUUAAGUUAUUACCGUCCGUCGGGUAGGUACGGUCGCGAGAUAAACUACAAUAGAUAGAGCGUGAGAGUGCCGACGACGACGACGAGGGAGGUAGG
rnacentral:rRNA from 1 species